UACGGGGGGGGCAAGCGUUGUUCGGAAUUACUGGGCGUAAAGGGCUCGUAGGCGGCUUGUCACGUCGAUUGUGAAAGCCCGGGGCUUAACUCCGGGUCUGCAGUCGAUACGGGCUAGCUAGAGUGUGGUAGGGGAGAUCGGAAUUCCUGGUGUAGCGGUGAAAUGCGCAGAUAUCAGGAGGAACACCGGUGGCGAAGGCGGGUCUCUGGGCCGAUACUGACGCUGAGGAGCGAAAGCGUGGGGAGCGAACAGG
rnacentral:rRNA from 1 species